CCUACGGGAGGCAGCAGUGGGGAAUAUUGCACAAUGGGGGAAACCCUGAUGCAGCGACGCCGCGUGAGUGAAGAAGUAAUUCGUUAUGUAAAGCUCUAUCAGCAGGGAAGAAAAUGACGGUACCCGAGUAAGAAGCUCCGGCUAACUACGUGCCAGCAGCCGCGGCAAUACGUAGGGGGCAAGCGUUAUCCGGAUUUACUGGGUGUAAAGGGAGCGUAGGCGGAAGGGCAAGUCUGGAGUGAAAGGCGGGGGCUCAACCCCCGGACUGCUCUGGAAACUGUACGGCUGGAGUGCAGGAGAGGUAAGUGGAAUUCCUGGUGUAGCGGUGAAAUGCGUAGAUAUUAGGAGGAACACCAGUGGCGAAGGCGGCUUACUGGACUGUAACUGACGUUGAGGCUCGAAAGCGUGGGGAGCAAACAGGAUUAGAUACCCCAGUAGUC
rnacentral:rRNA from 1 species